GCAUGUAAUACCAUUAGUACUGAUAAUAAAUUGUGGCACAAACGUUUAGGCCACCCAAACUCAGAUGUACUUCGCACUUUAUUUAAUUCUAAUUUAUUGGGUAAUAAAGCAUGUUCGUCUAAACUUUCUUUUGAUUGCACUGCAUGCAAACUUGGCAAAAGUAAAACUCUACCUUUUCCCUCUCAUGGAUCUCGUGACUCACAAUGUUUUGAUAUUAUUCAUAGUGAUGUUUGGGGAAUUUCACCUAUUAUUUCUCAUGCACGUUAUAAGUACUUUGUUACAUUUAUUGAUGACUUCAGUGGUUUUACUUGGGUUUAUUUUUUAAGAGCCAAAUCAGAAGUCUUUUCAAUCUUUAAGCGUUUCCUAGCUCUUGUUGAGACUCAAUUUUCUAGCCUCAUUAAGAUCUUGCGAUCUGAUUCUGAGGGGAAUAUAUGUCCAAUGAGUUUCAGAACUUUCUCCAAAGUAAGGUAUCCUCUCUCAACAUUCUUGUCCUUCAACACCACAGCAAAACGGUGUUGCUGAAAGAAAGAAUCGUCAUCUCCUGGAUAUGGUAAGAACACUCUUACUUGAAUCAUCAGUACCUUCUCGAUUCUGGUGUGAAGCACUUUCCACUUCGGUUCAUUUAAUUAAUCGUUUACCAUCUCCUAUUUUAAAUCAUGUUUCUCCAUUCUUUAAACUAUUUGGAUAUUCACCCUCCUAUUCUGAUCUGCAUACAUUUGGUUGUGUUUGUUUUGUACAUCUUCCUGCUCAUGAGUGACAUAAACUUACUGCUCAGUCUGUUAAAUGUGUUUUCCUUGGUUAUGCUGUCUCUCAAAAAGGUUAUAUUUGCUAUGAUUCUCAUGCUAAACGUAUAAGCAUUUCUAGGAAUGUGGUUUUCUUUGAAAACCAAUAUUUUUUCUGUCUCAUUCUGAGCUACUCCAUACAUCUUCAUCUAUCCUGCCUAACUUCUCUGAUUCCCCAGCUGUUAUAGCACGAUUUAAACCAGGACUUGUGUAUGAACGACGUAAUCGUGGGUCUGAUCCUCCUACUGAUGUGCCCCCUCCUGAUCUCGAACCGGCACCUAAUCCUCCUACGGUUCCCAUCUGUCUUCAUCGGUCUACUCGUCAUUCUCGCCCACCCGAUCGGUACGAUUUCUCAUCUCCUGUUUCUCUUGUAGCUACUUUAUCUGCUAUUUCCAUUCCUACUUGUUACAAACAGGCCAUGGAACAUGAGUGUUGGCAAAAGGCAAUGCAAGCAGAACUUCAGACCCUUGAGGAGAAUCACACUUGGGACAUUGUGCCUUGUCCUCCAACUAUGAAACCUAUUGGGAGCAAAUGGGUUUUCUUUGUGAAACUUCAUUCUGACGGCUCCUGGGAUCGGUACAAAGCUCAUCUUGUAGCUCUGGGUAACAGACAGGGAUAUGGGGUUGACUAUGAGGAGACAUUUGCUCCUGUCGCCAAAAUGACCAUAGUCAGGACGAUCCUAGCUAUUGCUACCUCGCAGUGAUGGAACCUACAUCAGUUGGAUGUGAAGAAUGCCUUUCUUCACGGCGAUCUUCACGAAGAGAUUUAUAUGAAGCUUCCUUCUGGUAUGACUACUUCAUCUCCUCAUGAUGUUUGUAGACUACGACGUUUUUUGGAUGGACUCAAGCAGGCUCCUCGAGCUUGGUUUGAGAAGUUUCGUAGCACACUCAUUACCUUUAGUUUUGCACAGAGUCAGUAUGAUUCUUCUCUCUUCUUCCACAAGUCUACCUCUGGUAUUGUACUUCUCUUGGUUUAUGUGGAUGAUAUCAUUAUUAUUGGCACUGACUGUGAUUUUAUUUCAAAGCUUCAAAAGUUAUUACAUGCAACUUUUCACAAGAAAGAUCUCGGCCAACUCACAUACUUCUUAGGACUCGAAGUUCAUCAUCAGCCCAAUGGUAUUUUCUUAAACCAGCAUAAGUAUAUUCAAGAUCUUAUUGCGUUAGCUGGGUUGGAGAAGUCUUCUUCUGUUAAUACUCCUAUGGAAGUCAAUGUAAAGUAUCAGAAAGAUGAAGGGGAUCUUCUAGACGAUCCUACUCUAUAUCGUCGCCUCGUUGGGAGUCUCAUCUAUUUGACUCGCCCAGAUAUCUCUUAUGCCGUUCAUCGGGUCAGCCAUUUUAUGUCUUCACCUCAGCAUCUUCAUCUUGCGGCCGUUCGUCGUAUUAUUCGCUAUAUUCGUGGAUCAUCCACUCGUGGGUUAUUUUUUCCUAAAGGGUCGUCUCUUCAACUUUCUGCCUACAGUGAUGCUGAUUGGGCCGGGUGUCUGGAUACGUGUCGUUCCACUACGGGUUGGUGUAUGUUUUUAGGUGAUGCUUUAAUCUCUUGGAAAUGUAAGAAACAGGAUCGUGUCUCUAAAUCAUCUACUGAGGCUGAGUAUCAUGCUAUGUCUACAGCUUGUUCUGAGAUUAUUUGGUUACGAGGUCUUCUGGAGGAGCUUGGGUUUUCUCAAGAUAAUCCUACUCCUCUUCAUGUUGACAACACCAUUGCUAUUCAGAUUGCAAAUAAUCCCGUAUUUCAUGAACGUACGAAGCAUAUCGAAGUUAAUUGUCAUUUUAUUCGUGAUACUUUGAUGGAUAGGGUGAUAUCUCUUCCCUACAUUUCUUUUGAUCUCCAAGUGGCAGAUGUCUUCACCAAAGCAUUGACUCGACUACGACAUCAUUUCCUUGUGGGCAAAUUGUUCUUGGUUGACCUCCCAGCAUCAAUUUGAGGAGAGGUGUUACCAUAUAUACCGGCGAAUAUUUGGAAAAAGAAUGAUUUGUUGCUAAUUGUCAGGGAUUGUAUCUUUAAUUUAUUUAAUUUCCUUUUAGAUCAAAUAACUGUAAAUAUAUAUACAAUACACAACACAAUGUAAAAAGGGUUUUUUUGGACAGAAAUUUCACGCAAUUUGUUCGGCCUUUUUGUCAUAUAUGGGAUACUCACAAUACUAACUAUGAAGUCUAAACUAGUUUACAACAACCUAGAAGGUGGUUAAAUAGGUUUCAGGGGUAAAUUUUAUCCAAUCUGUUUUGCAAAUGUCCUGUUACUGUUAGACACAUCCGAUGUCUAACACUGUUAAAAAUGUUGUAGAAGCAAUUAAACACUUUAACCUUUUGCAUCAAUUCUUUAAUUAAGUUUCAAGACAGUAAUUCAGUGAAAAAAACAUGGAUUUUUCAUUUUUGUAUGUAUUCGAUCAGGAUUAAUCUCCAUCUACCAUUUGACCUAUUUUAUAUCAAGGAAUAAAACAUACAGAAAGAUAUAUUUAGUACAUUGAUUCCAAAAGAUAGCUUAUACAUCUAGAGUGAUAGGCCUUUAGAUUAAAGAAUAUGCUGGAGAACACAACACAACACAGUAUUACUGUACAGGGAAGCAUAGAUACCAGACUUCGCUCAUAACAAUGAAGCAUGGACACUCUUACUAAGGUAAAAUGUCCAAUGGGUAAUUUGCCAUAUUUUUCAUAUACUUUUAAAGUUUCUAAUACACUCCAGGAGUUAUUUAGGGACACUCCUCAAGCAAUGUAUUUAGCAUUCCAUGUGACAUGUUGAUGCGGACAUCCAUUUAUUAUUUAUUUUCUAUUUGGACCAUUAGUUAUAUUUUCUUUGGACUAUUGUUUAUGUUUUCGUUAUUGGACUUGUUUAGUGAGUUUGGCCCAAGUCCUUCUCUUUAGAGUUUGUGUUCUGCUAUUUAUUUCUGUUUUGUUUCUCAUUUGAG
rnacentral:lncRNA from 1 species